rnacentral:rRNA from 1 species
AAGAUUGUAACCUUGGGGUUGGCUCUUGUCUAUGUUUCUUGGAACAGGACGUCACAGAGGGUGAGAAUCCCGUGCGAUGAGAUGCCCAAUUCUAUGUAAGGUGCUUUCGAAGAGUCGAGUUGUUUGGGAAUGCAGCUCUAAGUGGGUGGUAAAUUCCAUCUAAAGCUAAAUAUUGGCGAGAGACCGAUAGCGAACAAGUACAGUGAUGGAAAGAUGAAAAGAACUUUGAAAAGAGAGUGAAAAAGUACGUGAAAUUGUUGAAAGGGAAGGGUUUGAGAUCAGACUCGAUAUUUUGUGAGCCUUGCCUUCGUGGCGGGGUGACCCGCAGCUUAUCGGGCCAGCAUCGGUUUGGGCGGUAGGAUAAUGGCGUAGGAAUGUGACUUUACCUCGGUGAAGUGUUAUAGCCUGCGUUGAUGCUGCCUGCCUAGACCGAGGACUGCGAUUUUAUCAAGGAUGCUGGCAUAAUGAUCCCAAACCGCCCGUCUUG